AUGAUGGACUAUAGGACAGGACUGCUGCUUUUUACUGUCUGCUGGGCAGGUGUUGAUGGUCAGACUCUGACAGAAUCUGAAGCAGUGGUUAAAAGGCCUGGAGAAUCCCACAGACUGACCUGUUCAGCCUCUGGAUUCACAUUCAGCAGCUACUGGAUGGCUUGGGUCAGACAGGCUCCUGGAAAAGGACUGGAGUGGAUCGCUACUAUUAGUAAUGGUGGUAGCAGCCAAUACUACUCUAAUUCAGUCAGAAGCCGGUUCACCAUCUCCAGAGACGACAGCAGACAGCAGCUGUAUCUGCAGAUGAACAGUCUGAAGACUGAAGACACUGCAGUGUAUUACUGUGUCAAACACAGAGAGGCAGUCAGCGAGGGCAGAAAAAUCCAACGAGGGCAAAUCCACAAAAUCCAAAGAAAGUUCAAAACCGGGAAAAGCAAACAGGGAAAAUAA